GCUAUGACGGGUAACGGGGAAUUAGAGUUCGAUUCCGGAGAGGGAGCCUGAGAAAUAGCUACCACAUCUAAGGAAGGCAGCAGGCGCGUAAAUUACCCAAUUCUAAAGAAGAGAGGUAGUGACAAGAAAUAACAAUACAAGGCCAAUCUGGCUUUGUAAUUGGAAUGAUGGGAAUUUAAAUCCUUCCCAUAAUACAAUUGGAGGGCAAGUCUGGUGCCAGCAGCCGCGGUAAUUCCAGCUCCAAUAGCGUAUAUUAAAAUUGUUGCAGUUAAAACGCUCGUAGUUGAAUUUCAAAGAACCAAUAUUUUAAUAACGCCGUUAGCUAGAUCCACAAGGGGUUGAGCCAAUCACGGUUUCGGCUUCUGUGCGCAUCCUACCUAUCAAGCGUUUUUUUAAUUAAAGUGUUUCUUUUUAAAAUCUUCUUUACCUUAACCAUAUGGAAGAUUUUGUUACUUUGAGUAAAUUAAAGUGUUCAUAGCAAACAGAUACAGCAUUGCGCGUUUUGAAUACUACAGCAUGGAAUAACAAAAUUGAACAAGUCAAAACUAUGUUUCUUUUUUUUUAUUUUUGGCUUAGUUACGAUUAAUAGGAGUAGUUUGGGGACAUUUGUAUUCAGAUGUCAGAGGUGAAAUUCUAAGAUUUUCUGGAGACAAACAACUGCGAAGGCAUUUGUCUAAAAUACUUCCAUUAAUCAAGAACGAAAGUUAAGGGAGUGAAGACGAUCAGAUACCGUCGUAAUCUUAACCAUAAACUAUACCGACUAGGUUUUGGAUGAAAGUUAAACAAAUAAGGAUAGUCUCUUCGGGGAUAGUCCUUAGAUUUCUUCCUUCAGUACCCUAUGAGAAAUCAAAGUCUUUGGGUUCUGGGGCGAGUAUUCGCGCAAGCGAGAAAGUUAAAAGAAUUGACGGAAGGGCACCACCAGGCGUGGAGCUUGCGGCUUAAUUUGACUCAACACGGGAAAACUCACUAGUUUAAGACAAGAGUAGGAUUGACAGAUUAAUAGCUCUUUCUUGAUUUCUUGGAUGGUGAUGCAUGGCCGUUUUUAGUUCGUGAAUAUGAUUUGUCUGGUUAAUUCCGAUAACGAACGAGAUCUUAACCUGCUAAUUAGCGGCAAAUACGAUAUAUUCUUACGUGGGACUGAAUUCGGUUGAUUUGCUUACUUUGAAGAAAAUAUUGGGAUACGUAACAGUUUCCCUUUCCCUUUUCUACUUAGUUCGCUUUUCAUACUGUUUCUUUUUCGCGUAAGAAUGUAUUUGCUUGAUUGUAAAGCUUCUUAGAGGAACGAUGUGUGUCUAACACAAGGAAGUUUAAGGCAACAACAGGUCUGUGAUGUCCUUAGAUGAACUAGGCUGCACGCGUGCUACACUGAUAUGUAUAACGAGUUAUUAAAAUUACGAUUCAGCUUGCUGUUUCGUAUUUUUCCUCCACUGAAAAGUGUAGGUAAUCUUUAUCAGUACAUAUCGUGAUGGGGAUAGAUUAUUGCAAUUAUUAAUCUUGAACGAGGAAUGCCUAGUAAGCACGAUUCAUUAGAUUGUGCUGACUACGUCCCUGCCCUUUGUACACACCGCCCGUCGCUCCUACCGAU
rnacentral:rRNA from 1 species